CCUAGAGUAUGCGGGCUUUGCCUGCCAUCUCUUACCCAUGUCUUUUGAGUACCUUCGUUUCCUCGGCGGGUCCGCCUGCCGACUGGACAAUUUAAACCAUUUGCAGUUGCAAUCAGCGUCUGAAAAAACUUAAUAGUUACAACCUUCAACAACGGAUCUCUUGGUUCUGGCAUCGAUGAAGAACGCAGCGAAAUGCGAUAAGUAGCGUGAAUUGCAGAAUUCAGUGAAUCAUCGAAUCUUUGAACGCACAUUGCGCCCCUUGGUAUUCCAUGGGGCAUGCCUGUUCGAGCGUCAUUUGUACCUUCAAGCCUUGCUUGGUGUUGGGUGUUUGUCUCGCCUCUGCGCGCAGACUCGCCUCAAAACAAUUGGCAGCCGGCGUAUUGAUUUCGGGGCGCAGUACAUCUCGCGCUUUGCACUCACAACGGCGGCGUCCAAAAGUACAUUUUUACACUCUUGACCUCGGAUCAGGUAGGGAUACCCGCUGAACUUAAGCAUAUCAAUAAGCGGAGGAAUCGUUCCCUUGGUCAUUUAGAGGAAGUAAAAGUCGUAACAAGGUUUCCGUAGGUGAACCUGCGGAAGGAUCAUUAAUGAUUGGCCUCAGGGCCUUAUCGAUUAUUAAUCCCAACACCUCUGUGAACCGUUUUCGGCCCUCGGGCUGAUCUUUUUACAAUACAAACAUUGUGUAAUGAGCGUCUUGUUAUCUUAACAAAAC
rnacentral:misc_RNA from 1 species